rnacentral:rRNA from 1 species
GACGAACGCUGGCGGCGUGCGUAAUACAUGCAAGUAGAACGCUGAAGGAGGAGCUUGCUUCUCUGGAUGAGUUGCGAACGGGUGAGUAACGCGUAGGUAACCUGCCUGGUAGCGGGGGAUAACUAUUGGAAACGAUAGCUAAUACCGCAUAAGAGUAGAUGUUGCAUGACAUUUACUUAAAAGGUGCAAUUGCAUCACUACCAGAUGGACCUGCGUUGUAUUAGCUAGUUGGUGGGGUAACGGCUCACCAAGGCGACGAUACAUAGCCGACCUGAGAGGGUGAUCGGCCACACUGGGACUGAGACACGGCCCAGACUCCUACGGGAGGCAGCAGUAGGGAAUCUUCGGCAAUGGACGGAAGUCUGACCGAGCAACGCCGCGCGAGUGAAGAAGGUUUUCGGAUCGUAAAGCUCUGUUGUAAGAGAAGAACGAGUGUGAGAGUGGAAAGUUCACACUGUGACGGUAUCUUACCAGAAAGGGACGGCUAACUACGUGCCAGCAGCCGCGGUAAUACGUAGGUCCCGAGCGUUGUCCGGAUUUAUUGGGCGUAAAGCGAGCGCAGGCGGUUAGAUAAGUCUGAAGUUAAAGGCUGUGGCUUAACCAUAGUACGCUUUGGAAACUGUUUAACUUGAGUGCAAGAGGGGAGAGUGGAAUUCCAUGUGUAGCGGUGAAAUGCGUAGAUAUAUGGAGGAACACCGGUGGCGAAAGCGGCUCUCUGGCUUGUAACUGACGCUGAGGCUCGAAAGCGUGGGGAGCAAACAGG